GCAAAUCUUACACUGCCUCAGUUAUGCUCCCCAAGAGUUUUUCUUUCAAUUCAUGGUUCUGAAUCCAGAACUCCAUGAUCCCAUCUAUAGAGUGAUGAUAUAGUAUUGUAUGGAAGUGACUCUUUCACUAUUUAUCAUCCUUAUCCAAGAGAAAACCAACCUCCCAGAAGUGAUAUGACUGAUUGUUGGACCACAAUAAAUAUGCAUCCUGCGUGAUCUGUUGCCCAUAGUGACUGUCUGGUGCUGGUAUUGUAGAGUAUCAUUUCAUGGGAUGGAGUACAUCCUGAGAAAUGCUGGACUGGAUGAAGCAAAAGCUGGACUAUAA